UACGUAGGGGGCAAGCGUUGUCCGGAUUUAUUGGGCGUAAAGCGCUCGCAGGUGGUCCGAUGCGUCGUGCGUGAAAGACCCCGGCUCAACUGGGGGGUGUCGUGCGAUACGGUCGGACUGGAGGCCAGUAGGGGGAUGCGGAAUUCCGGGUGUAGUGGUGGAAUGCGUAGAUAUCGGAAGGAACACCUGUGGCGAAAGCGGCUCACUGGACCAUAACUGACGCUGAGGCGCGAAAGCUAGGGGAGCAAACAGG
rnacentral:rRNA from 1 species